GCUACACAUGCAGUCGAGGGGUAGCAGGGAGCUUGCUCCGCUGACGACCGGCGAACGGGUGCGUAACGCGUAUAGAAUCUACCUCUUACUAAGGGAUAGCCCAGAGAAAUUUGGAUUAAUAUCUUAUAGUAUGUUAACUUGGCAUCAAGAUGACAUUAAAGGUUACGGUAAGAGAUGACUAUGCGUCCUAUUAGCUAGAUGGUGUGGUAACGGCACACCAUGGCAACGAUAGGUAGGGGCCCUGAGAGGGGGAUCCCCCACACUGGUACUGAGACACGGACCAGACUCCUACGGGAGGCAGCAGUGAGGAAUAUUGGACAAUGGAGGCAACUCUGAUCCAGCCAUGCCGCGUGCAGGAAGACUGCCCUAUGGGUUGUAAACUGCUUUUAUACAGGAAGAAACACUCUCACGUGUGAGAGCUUGACGGUACUGUAAGAAUAAGGAUCGGCUAACUCCGUGCCAGCAGCCGCGGUAAUACGGAGGAUCCAAGCGUUAUCCGGAAUCAUUGGGUUUAAAGGGUCCGUAGGUGGAUAAUUAAGUCAGAGGUGAAAUCUGCAGCUCAACUGUAGAAUGCCUUUGAUACUGUGUCUGAGUAUAUGAGUAGUAGAUAUGUAGUG
rnacentral:rRNA from 1 species